AGUGAACGCUGGCGGUAGGCCUAACACAUGCAAGUCGAACGGCAGCACAGUAAGAGCUUGCUCUUACGGGUGGCGAGUGGCGGACGGGUGAGGAAUACAUCGGAAUCUACUUUUUCGUGGGGGAUAACGUAGGGACACUUACGCUACUACCUAAUCUACCGAACGGCUUAAUCCAGUGGUUAUUGGCACUUUUGCCGUUUCAUAUAGCGGGGUCCGCGUCGCAUUAGCUAGUUGGUAAGGUAACGGCCCACCAAGGCGACGAUGCGUAGCGGACCUGAGAGGGUGAUCAGCCACACUGGAACUGAGACACGGUCCAGACUCCUACGGGAGGCAGCAGUAGGGAAUAUUGCACAAUGGGCGCAAGCCUGACCGAGCAAUGCCGCGUGGGUGAAGAAGGCCUUCGGGUUGUAAAGCUCUUUUGUUGGGAAAGAAAAACAGCAGGUUAAUAUACCGCUGUUCUGACGGUACCCAAAGAAUAAGCACCGGCUAACUUCGUG
rnacentral:rRNA from 1 species